CCCACUUAUAUUGUUGACAUCUUCCAUAUAAACAAACAUAGCUUCAUGUUGUCAUCUUCAUAAACUGCAAAAUAUCCCAUAAUAUGGAUGUACCUUGAUUUAGUUAAUUUCCUACUGAUAAACGUUUAGGUUGUCAAAUUUUCACUAUUAUAAACAAUUCUGUGAUGACCUCUUAUAUGUAUUUUUGGGCACAGAUCUUAUUAUCUACAUAGUAUAAAUUCCCCCAAAUUUCUGAGUCAAAGAAUAUAAAUUUUAGGGGAGGGUUGGAUAUAUUCUGCUGAUUGCUCUCCAGAAAGGACUAUAUGUGGUGACUUUCAGUGUUUUUUUUUUUUUUUUUUAAAGAUUUUAUUUUUUCCUUUUUCUCCCCAAAGCCCCCCGGUACAUAGUUGUGUAUUCUUCGUUGUGGGUUCUUCUAGUUGUGGCAUGUGGGACGCUGCCUCAGCGUGAUCUGAUGAGCAGUGCCAUGUCCGCGCCCAGGAUUCGAACCAACGAAACACUGGGCCGCCUGCAGCGGAGCACGCGAACUUAACCACUCCGCCACGGGGCCAGCCCCGACUUCCAGUGUUUUUUAACAGUAUGUCCUAGUUCUGAAUUUCAGUAAGGAGUCCUUGAUUACUAAUGUAACCUUGCUGUUCCUAACAUCUGGAUUAGAAAGGAUAUUUACAAAAAGUUUCGUACAGUAAUUUGAAUUUUUUUGCAGAGCCUUCUUCACUUUGUUUGAAAGUACUUGGUGAUCACAGUGUAUUAUUUACUACUUUGUGACUUUUGCAAGCUUCAGCUAACCACAAACGUGACUCUCCCUGACGUAUGUCUUUUUCAAUUCAGUGGCAAGUGCAUUUUCUCAAUUCUAUCGAACUGUGUCUUUCCAAACCUUCAGGAUUGCCAAGAUGAGUUAGGAAGAAACAGGAUCUGGAUCUGUUUCCUACAAAAGUGUCAAUAUUUGCCAAAACAAAGAGCAGGGAGUACCCCCAAUGGAAUGCCAUCUGUCCUUGUCUUUGAGAGCGUGCUGGAAGAUCUUUUCACAGCCAAGAGAUGAUUAUUUGGCAUAACUGAUACUGAAAAUCAACAAGGUGGCUUACAGAUCAGAAACUGGCUGAUGUAAAGACAUACUUUGCUAUGUGAAAACUGGAAGUAUAGAAAUGUGUUUCGUUUUAGAAUCUAUAAACUAGGGAUUGUUUACUUUACCAAAGUAUUUCCCACAGGAACAUUUUAAUCAGCAGGAUCGCCUGGUUGAUUUAAAUAUUCCGAUCAUUAACAAGUCAUUUUGUUGCACAGACUUUUAAGAAAUGAGCAGCUGAUAAGAUGAGACAUAAUUCCCCUCUUAUGGUUCCAUUAUUUCAACCACACUGUUUCUUAAGCAGUUAAGCUCAUCACUUUCCUCUAUCACUUAUGGAAACUCAGUUUGGUUGCAGUUUUAGGGCGGAGGCAUAACGCACAAGGCCCAGCUUCUGAAGUAUGGUCAGUUGCCUGACCUGAGUUCCAAAGGGUGGUCUUAGCUGCCUGGUUUCUCCUUUGGAGAAUACCCAGAUUCCUUUGAACGGCAACCCACAGAGUAAUUCAAGAGAUCGUCUUGGGUAGCAGUGAAAUUCUUUAAAAUUCAUUUGGCAGGUUUCAGGCUCCAUUUCUCCUCCUACAGAGUAUUGCUCAGUGGGGUGUUUGCCACUCAGAACUUCUAAUCCGUCUGUGUGUUGUCCAGCUAAUGGCGUUUGCAGUCCACUUGGGGCAGACAGACAAUAAACAAAUAAUUUGUCAGGGAGUGAUAAAUGCUUAAAAAAAAAAUAAAGCAGGGGAAAAGGGAUAAAGAGGAAGAGAGAGGUGGUAUGUGUGUGGGUGCACACAUCUGUGUUACAGAAGAAGGUAGAUAGGGAAAGUCUGACCUGAAGCAGAUGAGGGAGAGAACCACAAAGUUAACUCAGGGAGAGAGUAUUCCAAGUAGCGAGAAUAGUAAGUUCAAAGGCCCUGAGGCAGGAGAGUACCAGCUGUGUUCAAAGAAUAGUGGGGAGGCCAGUGCAGCAGGAAGGGAGAGCAGCAUCAGGUGCCAAGUCAUGCUGGAUAUCACGGGCCAUGGUGAGAAUUUGUAUUUUACUCUGAGUAGGAUGGGGAACUGCUAGAGGAUUUUGAAAAGAAAUUAACACAUGCAAAACACUUAACACACUGCAUACAGUAAGUACUCAAAAAAUGCUCACUUUUAUUUUACUUUCCUUGACUCUAAAGGUAAUCUCCAUUCUGCUUUAGAAGAAUAGUAUUUUCUUUUCUAAAUGUGGCAGAAAGGCUGGAAAGCAAAUGAAAAAUUCCUGGUCUUACAAUCUUUAGGUCCAAUUUUAGCAUUCUACAUCUCCACAGGUUUGAUUAUGAGAAAGUUACCCCAUGUUCAAGAUUUUAGGUCCUUCUUUUCCAUUCUGCUGCUCAGCAGUAUGUUUUUUUAAAAAACUUCUUGUUAUGGACAUUUUCAAAUUUAGUACGGAAGUAGAUGGGACACCCAGCCUCAGGCAAGUAUCUAUUCAUGGCUAAUCGUGUUUCCUCUAUACUGCCAUCUAUUUUCCACCCCUUCCUUACAAUGAAUUACUUUACGGUAAAUCCCAGACAUAGCUUUUUAUCCAUGGAUGCUUCAGUAUGUAUCUCUACACUCUUUCUUUACCAUAAUACCAUUAUCAUGCUUACAGAUUUAACGAUAAUAUCAUCAAAAAUCAAGUCAGUAAUUAGAUUUCCCUGGUUGUCUCAUUAAUGCUUUUUAAAAAUAGUUAAUUUGUUUAAAUCAGAAUCCAAACAUGGUCAUACUUUCCAUUUGGUUAAUAGGUCUUGUAAAUCUUUUAAAAUCUGUUCACCUUCCCUUUUUUUUUUUUUCCUUUUCUUUUCUUUGUUGGAGAAACCUGGUCAUUCGUUCCUUAGAUGUCCCUUGUUUUGGGUUUUGCUGAGUGCCUCCCUGUGGAGUUGUUGCAUGUGUUCGUUUUUCCUAUAAACUGGUGGUUAGUUCUAGAGACAUAAUCAAGUUGGAUUUUUUGGCAAGACUGCCUCAAACGAGGUGCUGUGAGCUUCCUGUUGCACCCCAUCAGGAGGCAUGUCCUGCCUAGCUGCUCUCUCUCCUCCAAUUUACCAUUUUAUCCAUAUUAAAGUGUACAAUUCAGUGACGUUUACUACAUUCACAAUGUUGUGCAACAUCACCACUCUCUAAUUCCAGAACUUUUCCAUCACCCCAAAAAGAAACCUAUACCCCUUAAGUAGUCACUCCCUGUCUCCCCUCCUCCUAGUCCCUAGCAGCCACUAAUCUGCUUUUUGUCUUUAUAGAUUUUGCUAUUUUGGAUAUUUCCUAUAAACGGAAUCAUGUACUAUGUAGCCUUUUGUGUUUGGCUUCUUUCACUUGGUGUAAUGUUUUCAAAGUUCAUCCACGUUGGAACAUGUGUCAGUACUUCGUUCCUUUUUAUGACUGAAUAGUAUUCCAUUGCAGACAUAUACCACAUUUUAUUUUACCCAUUCAUCAGUUGAUGGACAUUUUGGUUGUUUCCGUCUUCUGACUAGUGUGAAUAGUGAUGCUAUGAACAUUCAGGUACAAGUUUUUGCUUGAACACCUGUUUUGUAUUCUUUUGGGUGUACACCUAGGAGGACCUCCCUUUCAGUGAUGUUAUCAGUGGGUUCCCUUGGCGUCAGUCUCAUCCAUACAUGAUGAUGUUCCCUGUGGGCCUUUCAUCUAUGGAUUUUAGCACCAUUGCUGAUCACUGCCAAUUCCAGUAGGGUUUCAACAGCAUGGUUUUCAUGGAGGUCAAGGUGGUCUAACCAUUUUAUUUUCAAUUCACAUUAAAGCACCACUGGGCAACCACAUUUAUGCGAUUUUCUGAGGGGAAGAAAAAGAGAGAGGGAGGGAUUGGUGACCAAAAAGUGUGGGGGAAGCUGCAUACGAUGGAUCCCUCUUGCUGCAGAUUCCAGUGCCCACUCACAUAUUAAGGCCCCUGGGAAGUUCUGCAAAAAAGAAGACUGUUUAGCUUCGUUUAACUCUGUAUUCCCCAAGUUUAUUUGACUACAAACUUUUUUUUCUUUAUAAUUCUUAUUACUAUCCAUUCAAAUAUACUUUGGAGAAUACUGUUUUAGGGUCUAGGUUACUUAAAAGAACAUUACUUAUUAAUAUAUGCAUGUGUUUCUUUUUAAAAUUUUUUUUUAUUGAGGUAACAUUGGUUUAUAACAUUGUAUAAAUUUCAGGUGUAUGUCAUUCUAUUUCACCUUCUGUACAGACUGCAUUGUGUUCCUUACCAAAGUCUAGUUGCCAUUCAUCUCCGUACAAAUGUCCCCUUUUACUUCUUUCUCCCUCUUCCCACUCCCCCUUUCUGAGUGGUAACCAGCAGUCGAUUCUCUGUAUCUGUGUGUUUGUUUGUCUUCCACAUAUGAACGAAAUCAUACGGUAUUUGACUUUCUUCAUCUGACUUAUUUUGCUUAGCAUGAUACCCUCAAGGUCCAUCCAUGUUGUCACAAAUGUCAAGAUUUCAUCUUUUUCUUGUGACUGAGUAGUAGUCCAUUGCAUAUAUAUGGAUACCAAGUAUUCUUUAUCCAUCAUCCAUCAAUGGACACUUUAUUAGGUUGUCUCCAAGUCUUGGCUGUUGUAAAUAAUGCUGCAAUGAACCUAGAGGUGCAUAUAUCUUUUCAAAUUAGUAUUUUCAUGUUCUUUGGCUAAAUAUCCAGAAGUGGAAUAGCUAGAUCAUAUGGUAGUUCUAUUUUUAAUUUUUUUGAGGAAUCUUCGUACUGAUUUCCAUAGUAGCUGCACCAAUUUAUAAUCCCACCAGCCAUUAAUGAGGGUUCCCUUUUCUCUAUAUUCCCUCCAACAAUUGUUAUUUCUUGUCUUUUUAAUAAUAGUGAUUCUGAUAGGCAUGAGGUGAUAUCUCAUUGUGGUUUGAUUUGCAUUUCCAUAAUAAUUAUUGAUGUUGGACAUCUUUUCAUGUGCCUGUUGGCCAUCUGUAUAUCUUUGUAAAAAUGUCUGUUCAGAUCCUCCCAUUUUUUAAGCAGGUUGUUUGUUUUUUUGUUGUUGAGUUGUAUGAGUUCUUUAUAUAUUUUGGAUAUUAACCCCUUAUUGGAUACAUGAUUGGCAAAUAUUUUCUCCCAGUUGAUGGUUGUCUUUUCGUCUUGUUGAUAGUUUCCUUUGCCACGCAGAAGCUUUUUAAUUUGAUGAAGUCCCAUUUGUUUAUUUUUUCUUUUGUUUCCCUUGUCUGAGGAGACAUUAAAAAAUGUACUGCUAAGACUGAUGUCAGAGUACAUUGGCUGUGUUUUCUUCUAGGAGUUUUCUGGUUUCCAAUCUUACAUUUAAUCCCUUUUGAGUUAAUUUUUCUGUAUGGUGUAAGAUAGUGAUCUGCUUUCAUUCUUUUGUGUGUAGCUGUCCAGUUUUCCCAACACCGUUUAUUGAAGAGACUUUCCUUUCUCCAUUGUAUGUUCUUGGCUCCUUUGUCAAAAAUUGGCUAUCCAUAAAGGUGUGGUUAUUUCUGGGGUCUCGGUUCUGUUCCACUGAUCUAUGUGUCUGUUUUUCUGCAGUACCAUAUGCAUGUGUUUCUUAGCUGUCUGGCACCAACCUGACAGUCUCCUGAAGCUUAUAUUCACUUAGUGGCCAUAAACUGACUGUAUUCUUAUAAAAGCCCUGGGCAGCAGAAUUGGCAAUAUAUCUGGCAAAGCUUCACUUAGAAACUCUGAAUUGAGAUUAUGUCCCUGGGGAUGAAUGCUUGAGCCAACAAAGAAUAUGUCAGUUUUACUUGUCACCUCCAUCUUAUAGUGUUUGAUGGACAUCUGUGAUAAACCUUAGAGAAGUGCCGUAUGGAUGUGUACCCAAGGACGCCAGUGGUACUUAUAGUUCCUCUCUCUGCUCUUCAUUGCUUUACUCCACACAUCCUCCAAACCACAUCUAGGGUGGCUAUUCCACCUUAUGUUUCCCGGAUCAUACUGCUGAGGACUCUGUCUCACCACCUACACAAUCAGCGUGGUUAGAUGAGGCUAAACAUGGAGGUCAAAAUGGAGAGAGUAUCUGGCGGAUUCCUUGGUUGACUUUCCGAGGUCAGGGACCUGACAGUGCUCCUUUCAUAUGGCCUUUAGGAAGAAGCGUCCACUUGAAUAUGUUUCACUUACAUAAGUGACACAUGAAACUUGAUAAGUUUGCUUUUAAAAAGCUCUUAUGAGUCAGCUAGCUGUGCAGAGUGCUGACUGAGUGACCUGCACCUUUGAGAUUGGAAGCAGAAGAUGGUGCCUGCCAGAUAGAUACUUUUGGUUUUUGUGAGGAGAAAGGUGGUGAGAUGCUACUAAGGCCAAACACGUGACUGCCUCCUUCUUAUGACAGUCUCCCGACAUGGUCUCAGGGCCGAGUCUAGGUACUGCCCCAAACCGUAUGUUCUGAGGGGAGAAGAGAUUCCACAGUAGAAAGAAGUUGCCUCAAGAAUGAGAGGACAACGUCAAACGUACUGUCAAUAAUUCAUCAAAUGACAGUGAGAAAGCACCUGGUUCAGGUCAUGCCGAGCAGCCAACAGAUCCUGGGCCAAGAACACCAACGGCAGAAGGAAGCAGACCCGAGCCAACUUGCUCAUGAGCUGAAAUAUUCAAAUGUGGAUACAAGGCAGUUACCUAAUUCUUGCACCUGUUCUGAAUCAGCACGCACUGUAAUGUUGAACCAAGAUUUGACAUGAUGCCAGUGACGGCAGCAGAAGCAGAAAAUUUGCUGUGACACCACCCAAAUGGUGCCAGGGAAGGGACGAAGAGAACCCAUUGGGCUCUGCCAUCAGCUGUGGAGGACUUUCAGAAGCCUUUCUCCUACUGGCAGGGAAGACUUGGGCCGAUGCCUGGCUUCCUUGGAGUAGCUUGCUAAAUAAAUUGGCAUGGACCCACAUUUAAAAAUUUGCCAGCUAAAGAUGUUUUAGGUGUGUCAGUGGGGUUUUGGUUUCAUGAUUGCUGCUAAGAAAGUUUGAGCAACUCACAUACAAUUUCACUGAUUUAAUUACUGCUUAGAAAGGAAAUUACCAGAUUUAGGAGCCUAGGAAAAGACAUCAGCAUCAUGCCUCACAUUUCUCAUGGUGUUCAAGCAAGAGUCAGUAUUGAUCAAAACUUUUCGUCUGCCUCCAGCGGUUUUAAAGUGACAUGUAAUUAGCUGACUUAUUUUGUGGUCCCUUCUUCAUGACUGUGUGUUGGACAGUAUCAAAAGACAUCUGCCUGUGGCUGUUUAUAGGAAUCUCGAAGCUCAGUGUCUUGUGGUCUUCUAUAAAAGGUAAUUGAAGAACUUUUGUUUGCAGAAUAUGGAAGUGCUUUAAAAUGCUUGUGGGAGAAAAUCUUGAAAGGAUGGUAGACCCAUUUAUAGGAGAGGUGGCAAACUGUGACCUGUCUGGACUUUAGAAAAAAAAUGUAUGCAUCUGCUUGAAGCAGCUUUUUAUAAGUGGAAUGCAUGACUUACUUUAUAAAUAGUAAAACCUAAGCCUUGGAAGCAGUUUUGAUUCUCCAGGGACCACAACUUAUGUUAAAAGGGCGAAUAUGGUUCAUGAUAAGAUCUGAAUGGGUUAUGGAAUAAUUAGACAGAAAACCCAACUCAAAAUAAAUGUUGACUGAGGUUCUAAGACUGAGCAUCCCUCUGGCAGGUGGUGUGUCUACCAUGUGGAUGUAUUUGAACCAACAUCACAGAGUGGGAGAGGAUCUUAGCUGUCAUCUUCUCUACCUUCCCCAGCUUCCAGAUGGGAACCUUUGACCAUCUAGAUGGUUGAACAUGCCCAGGACCUCACAGGCAGCCUAUCUCAUGGGUGCCUGCCCAGAUCCCCUGUAGCCUCUAACCACUGUACAUGUUCUCUGGAACUUCCCAGAGUAAAUCCACUUCUAUAAGACAGAUUUUCUAAUAGCUAAAGUUAGGUCUCAUGUGUCCCUAACUCACCCUUUUCUUUCCCAGACUGAUUCUGUGGAUCUGGAUCCUUCUGCAGUUGUUCACUUAAUCAAAGAGGAUGAACUUCCUAGAGAGAAGAGAACAGUGCUUUAGCCAAGCAAAGAGCAGUAGAUGUGCUUCUGAACUAGACUCUCCAAAGACCCCAUGAGCACUUUUCCAGACCAGCACCCCAUCGCAUCCUGCUUUUCCUCCCUUUCAGUUUCAAGACCUUUUGGCAUCCUGGAGGUCUACCACCAGCUGGCAUCCGUUAGCCAGUGGUCUUAAAAGGGAUGCCUAGCAAAGGAAUGCAAUACGGCCGGUAUAGUCUGGUCAGAGCUCGCUUUUCUGGGCAGUAUACUUUUAGAUCGUUAAGUAAGUUGAGAGAUUCACCCACCUUCUUUGGGCUUUAAUUUAUUUCCUGAACAUCUUUUACAAAUUAUUAUUUUCAAGAUGUAAACUACAUAAAAUAGUACCACCACUUUGGAAAACAACUUGGCAUAGUAAAGUUCACCCAGCAAUUCCAUUUUUAGGUAUCUUCUCUACAGAAUCUCUUGCAUGUGUGUACCAGGAGACAUGUAAAAGAAUGUUCAUAGUAGCAUUGUCUGCAAUAACAACAAAAACAAACAAAUGAACAAAACAACUGGAAAUAUCCCAAAUGUCCCUUGACAGGAGAAUGAAUAAAUGAAUUGCUCAUGCAUUUUUUUAUUGUGGUAAAAUAUACAUAACAUAAAAAUUUACCAUUUUAACUAUUUUUAAGUGUACAGUUUUGUGGUAUUAAGUUUAUUCACAUUGUUGCGCAACUGUUACCACCAUCCAUCUCCAAAACUUUUUCAUCUUCUUCAGCUGAAACUCUGUGCCCAUUAAACACUAACUCUCCAGUCCCUUCUCUACCCAGCCCCUGGCAACCGCUGUUCCACUUUCUGUCUCUGUGAAUUUGCCUGUUCUGUGUACCUCAUAUAAGUGGAAUCAUACAAUAUUUGUCCUUUUGUGACUAGCUUAUUUUACUUGUCUAACGUUUUCAAAGUUCAUCCAUGUUGUUGCAUGCAUCAGGAUUUUCUUCCUUUUUAAAGCUGAAUAAUAUUCCGUCGUUUAUAUAUACAUAUCGCAUUUUAUUUACCCAUUUGUUGAUGAAUGCUUGGAUUGCUUUGGCCUUCGGCUCUUGUGAAUAAUGCUGCUAUGAACGUGAGUGUAAAAAUAUUUGGUUAAGUCUCUGCUUUCACUUCUUUUGAGUAUGUACCCAGAAGUGGAAUUGCUGAUCAUAUGGUAACUCUGUUUUGAGGAAUCAUUCUAUGUACUGUUUUUCACAGUGGCUGCAUCUGUUCAUUCAUUCAUUCAUUCUUUUUUUUUUACUGCCUGUAAUAUUCUGUAGUAUAACUAUAAUGUAAUUUAUCAGAUAUUGCCAAACUUUUUUCUAAAGUGAUUUGUUGAUAUAUUUACCUACCAGUAGUGUAUGAAGAGUUCCUUGUAAUCUACAUCUUUACCAACACUGAGUUUUAUUGGGUUUCUUCAUUUUUGCCAAUUUAGUGGUUUUUCGGUGAUUAUCUUACCAUAGUCUUAAUUUUUAUUUCCCUGAUUACCAUUGCAAUUACUCAUAAUUUUAUAUGUUUGAAAGCUUUGUUUUUCACAUAGACAUCUUUAAUCCAUUAAGAAUUAAUUUUUGUGUAUGAUGUAUGAUAGGGGUCUAAUUUCAUUCCUUUCUACGUGGAUAACCAAGUAUAUGGGUUCCAUCUUUUUCCCAUUGCCAUUCAUCUCAUUUGUAAAGUUUCCAUGUAUGUUUGGUCUGCCUAUGAGCUCUCUAUCCGUUCACUUGGUUAAUUUGUCCACCUACGUUAAUGGCAUCUGUUUUCUUUACCAUGAGGUGAUAAUGAUGUAUUGAGACUGAUGCUGGGUUAAUUGGGCAUUUAUUGUCCAGUAUUGUAAUUGCACCUGGUUAUGGACUAGGUGGGGUUAGAGUUGGCCUGCUGGCUGACUAAAGUAUGGUCCGUGCAGUCAUGGGGCUCUCAGACACGUAUUUCAAUCCUGAUGAUGCAAGGUGAGAAGUGUGGUAAUAGAGGAAUGGCUGAAGUGCUAAUAAGAAGAAAUGAUGAAGGAAACAACUAAUUCCAGUAUGAAGGCAUCCAGGAGGGUAACAGUCAGGGAGGUUGAACAUUUCAAAUAGGAAGUAUAUGAUAUCAUGGUUGAGAGCCGAGUUCUAGAGGUAGACAAACUCAUAUUUGAAUGUGUGACCCUGACAAAUUCUUGAGACCUCACUGAGGCUCAGCUUCCUUAUCUAUUCAACAAGGGUAAUAAUAAUACCUCCCUCAGAAGGUUGUUGGGAAGAUAAAAACAGACCGUGUAUCAGGAGCACUUAGCUAAGUGCCUGACACAUUGGAAGUACUCAAUAAAUGUAAACCUAUUAAUUAAUUCAUUCAAUAAUAUUAACUGAGCACCCACUGUCUGCCAGACAUGGCAAAAGGCUAUAAAUGCAAGUAUGAGCAAAACAAAUGGUCUCUACCCUCACGUAGCUUUCAGUCAAGUGGGAUAGAUAGAUGCUCAUAAAAUCAUCACACAAAUAUAUCAUUAGAGACUUUGACGAGUACUAUAACGGGAAAUUAUGGCCAACUAGGACAGAACAGAAGAGGGAAACCUGACUUAUGAUUAUUAUUUGUAUUAUCACGACUUCUGAGCUGGGACUUGAAGGAUGAGUGGUUUAUGGGCGUGGCAGGCAGGCAAGGUCAUUCUGGGCACACAGAACUUCAAAAGAGAGGGCAUGGAGAUGUGGAAGUUUUACAUCAGGUCAAGGGCAAGGGCCUGGGCACCCCUCACUUCCUGCCCACCUUUCCCAGAGGACAGGCAGGAGAAGGAGGUUGAGUGAUUACCUCUGGCCCCUAAACAUAUAUUGUGGCUCAAUGAACUCCGAUCUUUGGUCACUGUGAAAAGUUAUUCUCAGUGCCACUGACCAGCUCCUUGGCAAUAACAGACUGAAAAUGAAUAGUGAAAAUGGCUCAGGGGAGUUGGAUAACAAUGAAGUCUUUUUGACGUUAAUGCUGGUCAAAAAAGUAUCUAGCACCGGCUUCAGUUGGGCAUUCCAAAGCUCAAAGAUAAAAAGAAGUGCUCAGAGAAAAUAAAGUUAAAGCUUUUUCCGAGACAUCUGUGAGGCAUUUUUACAAGCUGAUGGUGAGUACUGUUUUCCAUUUAGAGUAGAUGUGGCAAAGAGUUAUAUUUGCAAGAAGGGAAAAAUAGAUGAUUGUGAGGGGUUUUUCUGGAACAAGUACAAUUCAGUAGCUCUCAAAUUGUAGUGUAUAUCAGAAUUCCCCCUGGAAGCCUGUUAAAAAUUUAGACUCCCUGGCCAUCCCCAAGACUCAGUAGGUGUUCCCUGGGCCUAGGGCUCUGUAUUUUUAACUAGCUGCUGGAGGACACCCUUUGAAAAACCUUGCAGACUUAGUAUCUUUAACUCUUUCCUUUCUUUUAUCUUUGUUUGCAAAUUCUUUUAGAAGAGUUUCUGAACAGGCUUUCUUUUGCAUUCCCCCUUCCCUGACCUCACUGUCAGCUGGGGGUCCCAAGCACAAUUGCCUGGGCAGGUCUCAUGAAUGUGCGAAACUGGGAGGGUAGGAGAAUAGGAAUUAAGCUGGUUGGGCGGGCAGCCUAUCUGUCUAGUCACUUGGCUUUUCUAAACAUUGUGCAAGCCAAGAACACAUCCCUGAGAGCUUUUUGCAUCUCAGUGCUGCCUGUUGGCCACCCAACCACCCAUUCAAACAAUUGUGUAGAAGAUAAUGGUGCAGGUUCUGGCCUCAGCUGACUUCAGCUGGAGUCCUAGCUCCACCACUUCCUAACAGUGCCUGGCUUCCUUCCAUGGCAGCUCCGAGGGGAUACAUAUGAUGUUUUACAAAAGUCUUCACACUUCAGGAGUGGUCUUCAAGGUCCAUAUGGGACUAUUUAAUCACUGAACAAAGGCAAGUUUCCACUUAACCCCUGGGCGUUUUUCAUUUGUCUAUUUCAAUCAUGAUACUUUGGAGCAGUGACCAGAUUCAGAUCAGUUUUGGUUCUUACAUUGGACAUUGUUUUGGUCUGACCAGCCUCCCUCUCCCUGCCCUUUGCCAACAGCUGCCAGACUCUCCUUCGGGGGAACGACCCUAUUCCGUGGCACACAGUCUUGAUGAAACUGUCAAUCAGGGAGGGGGCGAGAUCUGAGACCCAAGCUUAGCCAAUCAGAUUCUUCUGGGGAUCUGAAUCACGAGUGGAAUUAACAUCAGGUCAGAGAAAAAAUGCACGUCCAGUGAGGCACCGCUAAUUCCUGCUUCUUGGAGUAGCAUACUGAGAAGGUGUAGCCUUUGGAGUAUGGGCUGUGGGGCCAGAUUGUUUGGGUUAGAAACACACUUUCUAUAUAAGACCUGAAGCAAGCUAGUUAACCUCAUGCCUCGGUUUCCUCAGAUUGUGAAAGGGGAUAAUAGUACUUCUCUCAUAGGGUUGUUGUUCACAUCGCAUAAAUCAGUGCAUGGGUCUCAGCAGGAACACUUGUGAGGACACAGGAACCACUCUGAGUAUUUGAAGCAGAAAAGGAAUUUGAUGCAUGGAUUAGGAACAUAAAAAUCAGUGAAAGGCUGGAGAAGCAGGCUCCAGGCUGCAGGACUGGCUUCUGGAACACACUUCCAAACUGGCCUGCCAGGGGCACUGUCUCUUCUGCCACCAUCAGGAAAGUGGACCAGUAGUGGACCAUCACAGGGACUUCAAGAACACAGUGCCACAGCUGUGACCCAGGGAGCAGGAAGGCACUUGGCUGCUCCUGUGACCACCUCUCGUCACUCAAGAAGCUGAGGACUGGACAGUGGACGGUACUCUAUCCAAGAGCAUCAAGAUCACCAAGGUUCAAUUUUUAAGGUUGAAACGUUGGCUGCUAGUAAAAGUGCUAAUAUUCAUAAGCAAGCGAUGCAACUUGUAACUGAAGGAUCUAAAUCUGAGGACCCUGUCAGCUCUAUAAUUUCAUAAUUCCCAAGUCACAUGCAAAAAUCAGUUUAAUUAACUUGUAAUUAUGCUUCUUAUCUUCUGCAUUGGCAAAGAGGGAGAGGAUAGUCAUUCAUGGGCCCUCCAGCAGCACAGAAGCAUUUAUUACUUGCAUCUUCCUAACUUCCUUGAAAUGUAGUUUUAAUACCAUAAUUCACUUUUGUAAUAGUGGCCUGGUGACUUGGGCAGUGCAAUCACAUAUGCUGUUGAGACUUCGACGGAGCCAAAGGAGAGGCAUCUGGACUGCAGCAACAUGAGUCUGACCGGGAGGAGAGAAGGAGGAUGAGGAAGCUAAUCCUGAUAGAGAUCCCACAGUCAGGUGUCCGCUGUGGGAGAGAGUAGGGGAACUCACCUGCCCUGCAGAAGGGGGUGUGUGGGUGUGGGUGGGGUGAGCUGAGCAAUGUGUUGGGCUCACAGACUGAAAAAUGAGCUGUGACUCAGGCUUCCAUUCAUACCAAAGAUCUGACCUAAUAGCAGAACCCAUCACCAGAAUCUAGGCACUGGGAAUGUUCAGGAGCUCAGUGAGCAGAGAGUUCAGGGGUCCACACACAGCAGGACCUCCCUAGUGAGGAGGGGGUGCUAGAGUGUGAGGAGAGGGACAUGUGAGGAGCAGGAGGACUUGCAGAGCUAAGCUGGGUCUCAGAGCCCCUUCUUCCUGUAAGUCACCACUGGGAUUGAGGCUGGAUACCAGUUACCCUGAGCAGAAACCACUAAACCAGCAUUUCUUUCACUGGAAUAGACUCCAGGCCUUUUUCGUUUGUUUAAUCAGAAGGAAAUUCUAUGUUAACUAGAC
ensembl:lncRNA